rnacentral:lncRNA from 1 species
CUACUGGAGGCUGUGCAGCUAGGACAUUUUAAUUAAGAGUGCUUUUUCCUGUGAAAUUUUCACGGUCAUUUAUCUUCCAGGCCACUGCUUUUGAUUUGCUCUGACUCCAGCCCUGGCAGGCCCUAUCAGUGAGGCAGUUUCAAGGGGGAAAAUUGGAUUUGGAUAUUGUAAAUAAGGAAAGGAAGAUAGACAGGGUUGCCAUGCUACUAACUGGAAGAAACUUGAGACUGCUGAAAGGAGGAGGGAGGUGACCUUGCAGAACAGAUAUUGCUUGUGGGAAAAGAAGGCCUCCUAGUCUAUACCUGCUUCCAUGAGUGGACUACAUAUUGUUCAGUGAAUGUUUGUGCUUGACCUAGGUUUAUAAAAAAGAUUUGCUUACAUGAAGUGGCUCUGUGCAGUCUAUUCCACAUCAGAGUAGAAGAGGAAGCCGCAGUUCUCUUUGCACAACGGCAGCAAAUGGUGGCCUCUUUGCCAUGCG